CCCUUAGAUGUUCUGGGCCGCACGCGUGCUACACUGAUGCAUUCAACAAGUCUAAAACCUGGUCUGAUAGGGCUGGGUAAUCUUUUGAAAGUGCAUCGUGAUUGGGAUAGAUGAUUGCAAUUCUUCAUCUUCAACGAGGAAUGCCUAGUAAACGCAAGUCAUCAGCUUGCAUUGAUUACGUCCCUGCCCUUUGUACACACCGCCCGUCGCUCCUACCGAUUGAAUGAUCCGAUGAAUACCAUGGAUUGAGAGUACGAAUAGGUUCGCUUAUUUCUGCUGCUCGAGAAGUGGAGUAAAUCUUAUCAUUUAGAGGAAGGAGAAGUCGUAACA
rnacentral:rRNA from 1 species